CAGCACAGAUCAGCUCUUCUGUACAGUUCAUUUGACAUACGAAGACGGGAGCAGAUGUAUUAGGUCGAGGCAGAGAUCUCCACGUCUCGCAGCAGUGACAAAGAGUGGACACCUAUGGGAAACAGGGAAUCGAACCCACUUUGACGGGAUGCGAGAAACACCAAGCUCUGGUCGGACCGAAGUUGAGUAGGGUUAAUGCAGAUUUACACCGGAGUCAGAGGAGGCACAGCCAGGGUUUGUGCUUGUGCUGCCAGCGAAGUCAGCGAAGCUUUGUCAUUCAUUUCGGUAGGAACAGGAACACCAUUUGUCGUAGAAGGAUCGCUUGACACAACCUUUUUUGACGUUAUCUUCUGCCUACAAAUGGGGGAAAAUGGCAGCGAACCUAAAAGCCUCAUAUCUCCACGUAACCAACAAUUAUCCUGUCGGUUCAUAAGAAGAGAAAACACCCUCUGCAGCGCAUGCAACGCUAGGCAAAAGUGUUUGCUGAAUUCAUCUGUAAUGCAACUUUUUAGCUCCGUCUCAGCUCAGAAAACUCCCUUCCCUUGGACUGUAAACUGGAAAAAUGCCACGUCUGUGCAGAAUGACAAGCUGUCUCUCUCUGAAGCAAGACAAGGCUCAGCCAUGGCACAGGCGGAAGCAUUUAGGUCAAAGCCUGCUAUCAGAGGCAAAGGUGGCCAACGUGACCUGAGGGGAAAUUAAGAAAAUCUGAAGAAGUCUGGCUGAUUUUGCUUAAGUCCCUAAAAGCCUUGAAUUCGUUUGAAUUCACCGCAGGCAAAUCACUGCAUGCCUUAAAGUAUACAGAUGCCUUUUGACAGUAGGGCUCGUAUUGUGUAGCUCUCCAGCAUGACUUGGGAAGAUAAGACAUGAACAAUGGAGAGUUAUUAGCAUGAAUAAUUUUCCAUGCAAAUUGGAAGCACCACAGAACAAUGCGAUGGCUGUAGCUUAAUGGCACCAGGUUGUCUGCAGGGCUGCACAUAAAAUAUCACAGGAGGAAAGACAUAACAAAGACAAAAGCCACUCGAACAGAACUGCUUUCAAAAAUGAGCUGGGGCAGCUGGACCACAAGAUCCCUUUUUUCCUGGAAGUGGUUUCAGAGAUUGGGUGCCCAGAAAACACGCCUGAAAAAGCUAGAGCUAAAAGACUACUGCAGAUUUUCCAGACCUGAGAAACACUUCAUGAACCCAACACACAAAUCUCAACGCCUUCGUUAGAUCUGUCUUCGUUCCACAGCCUGGAGUCAGCAGGACCAACACAUUUGCAAAAAGGCUAACAUCUAUGUUAAUAAAACACAUUGGUCCCUGUAAUACAGCAGGAAAGAGAAACAACACAAAGAGAUAAGCAAAUUAACAUUUUUUUAUGUCACUAUUUCAGUAGAGACUUCAGUGGAAAGGGUGUAAGAAGGAGGAGAGCUAGUGGAGGUAGCAGGGACAGGGAUACACAUCCCCUGGGGUGGGUGGUUCAUGUUGCUACUGUGACUUCCUCAAGACACAUUUCUGCUUUCUGUGUUGCUCUGAAUCACACCCGAGCAGCAGAGCUGGUGCUGAUCCAGGUGACAGCAUCUCAAGCUGCUUGAAGUAUCAAUCCCAAGAAGCCCAAGGGGAAAAGAGGUCACCAAAGAGCAGCUGCUCCACUGGCUCUUCUGUUCCUUCCUCGCUAAAGCCUGCCCUGCUGAUAAA